GUGAAUCAUCGAAUUUUUGAGCGCAAAUUGCACUCUCUGGUAUUCCGGAGAGUAUGCCUGUUUGAGGGUCAGUUUAAAUAAAAAGCGGUGUGGUUGCUGCCUUUCGUGGUGACGCACGGGAUGUGGGUAGUCUUGCCUUGGGUUAAGAGACCUAAAAUUUGGAAUGGUUUUUUCGAAAGAAUGUAAAUGAUUUUAGGGAAGUUUGCGAUACCGAAUACUAGGUGUGGUAAACCUCAUGAUUCGCGCAGGUAGUUUUUCAUCAAAAAGA
rnacentral:misc_RNA from 1 species